rnacentral:rRNA from 1 species
AUGGCUGCUAACUCAUCGGCGUCAGGUUCGGCCUCCGAACUUGAAUUGAUGAUGGAGGAACUUGGUCUAAGAGAAGAUGAUCUGCAAGACGUAGUGGUUGAGGACGGAGAAUUGCCGCAGGAGGCGACCCGUUGGAUGGCGAUUGCUAGGGUUCACACCGAAAAACCUUACAGCCAAUAUUGGUUCUACAGGGGCAUGCGGGUGGCGUGGGAUCUGGCGCAGGAAGUUAAGAUCAGGCCUUUGGAAGACAACCUCUAUACACUCCAAUUCUCGUGCCUUGGCGACUGGGAGAGGGUAAUGGAGGAAGGACCGUGGAACUUCAAGGGUAAGGCGGUGGUCUUAGCGCCAUACGACGGAUUCACCAAGCCAUCAACCAUCGAACUCAAAAAGAUCGAUAUCUGGCUG